rnacentral:rRNA from 1 species
ACGGGGUGCAGCAGGCGCGAAAACUGUGCAAUGCGCGAAAGCNGCGACACGGGAAGCCUGAGUGCCUUAACUAUGUUAAGGCUUUUCUUGAGCCUAAAAAGCUCAAGGAAUAAGAACUGGGUAAGACGGGUGCCAGCCGCCGCGGUAACACCCGCGGUUCGAGUGGUAGUCACUUUUAUUGAGCCUAAAGCGUUUGUAGCCGGAUUUGUAAAUCUCCAGGAAAAGACUUCAGCUCAACUGAAGAAAUUUUGGAGAGACUGCAAAUCUAGGGACCGGGUGAGGUUGAAUGUACUUCUGGGGUAGGGGUAAAAUCCUGUAAUCCUGGAAGGACGACCGGUGGCGAAGGCGUUCAACUAGAACGGAUCCGACGGUGAGGAACGAAGGCUAGGGGAGCAAACCGGAUUAGAUACCCGGGUAGUCCUAGCUGUAAACACUGCCCACUUGGUGUUGCAUCUCCGGUAAGGGGGUGCAGUGCCGUAGCGAAGGUGUUAAGUGGGCCGCUUGGGGAGUAUGGUCGCAAGGCUGAAACUUAAAGGAAUUGGCGGGAGAGCACCGCAACGGGAGGAGCGUGCGGUUUAAUUGGAUUCAACGCCGGAAAACUCACCGGAGGCGACCUAUGUAUGAGAGUCAACCUGAUGAGUUUACUCGAUAGUAGGAGAGGUGGUGCAUGGCCGUCGUCAGCUCGUACCGUAGGGCGUUCACUUAAGUGUGAUAACGAGCGAGACCCCCAUCUUCAAUUGCUAAUUCAAUCGUGAGGUUGGAAGAACUUUGAAGGGACCGCCAGCGCAGAGCUGGAGGAAGGAGGGGUCGACGGCAGGUCAGUACGCCCCGAAUCUUCCGGGCUACACGCGCGCUACAAAGGACAGGACAAUGGGCUGCGACCUCGAAAGGGGAAGCCAAUCCCGAAACCUGUUCGUAGUUAGGAUUGAGGGCUGUAACUCGCCCUCAUGAAUCUGGAUUCCGUAGUAAUCGCGGGUCAACAUCCCGCGGUGAAUAUGCCCCUGCUCUUUGCACACACCGCCUGU